rnacentral:rRNA from 1 species
AUGACCAGGAGACCGCAAGAGACUUCUCUGUCGCCUAUUUACAUCGUUGGUCAACAGAUUGAUGCACGCCAAGUACCAGGUCAAGGAGGACCGCCAAGUUCGUCUUUCAAUGUCUCCGAAAUCGUCAAGUACCACGACAUCAAGUACCCUGUGGAUGUGCCAAGUGCCACGACGCCGCAUAAAUUUCUUCUUGAAUGUGUAUGA